AUGGAAAGGGAGGUAGCCGGCCAUGAGGACGAAGAGGAUGACCCCGCAGGACCAUAUGUCGGCCUUGGCGCCGUCGUAUCCGCGGCGCGCGAGCAUCUCGGGCGCGACGUAGGAGGGGGUGCCGCAGAAGGUGUGGAGGAGGCCGUCGGGGUGGAACUGGUCGGCGACGGCGGAGAGGCCGAAGUCGGAGACCUUGAGGUCCCCGCGCUCGUCGACGAGGAGGUUCUCGGGCUUGAGGUCGCGGUGGAAGACGCCGCGCGCGUGGCAGAAGCCGACGGCGGAGAUGAGCUGCUGGAAGUAGCGGCGGGCCGUGUCCUCCUUGAGGCGGCCCUUGGCGACGCGCGCGAAGAGCUCGCCGCCGCGGACGAACUCCAUGACGAAGUAGAUCUUGGACUUGGUGGCCAUGACCUCGAAGAGGCGCACGAUGUUGGGGUGGCGGACGCGGCGGAGGAUGGUGAUCUCGCGCUUGAUGUGCGGGACGAGGCCGGCACGCAGCGCCUUCUCCUUGUCCAGCACCUUGAUGGCGACCGUCUCGCCCGUGUCGGCGUGGCGCGCGUGGUAGACCUUGGCGAAGGUGCCGUGGCCGAGGACGCGGCCCAGCUCGUAGCGGCCGAGCAGGAGGCCGCCGCGCUUGCCGUUGCCGCUGGC
rnacentral:rRNA from 1 species